rnacentral:rRNA from 2 species
UUACCAUGCAGUCGAACGAUGAACCUGGAGCUUGCUCUAGGGGAUUAGUGGCGAACGGGUGAGUAACACGUGAGUAACCUGCCCUUGACUCUGGGAUAACCUCCGGAAACGGAAGCUAAUACCGGAUAUGACGCACGGAGGCAUCUCCUGUGCGUGGAAAGAACUUCGGUCAAGGAUGGACUCGCGGCCUAUCAGGUAGUUGGUGAGGUAACGGCUCACCAAGCCUACGACGGGUAGCCGGCCUGAGAGGGUGACCGGCCACACUGGGACUGAGACACGGCCCAGACUCCUACGGGAGGCAGCAGUGGGGAAUAUUGCACAAUGGGCGCAAGCCUGAUGCAGCAACGCCGCGUGAGGGAUGACGGCCUUCGGGUUGUAAACCUCUUUUAGUAGGGAAGAAGCGAAAGUGACGGUACCUGCAGAAAAAGCACCGGCUAACUACGUGCCAGCAGCCGCGGUAAUACGUAGGGUGCGAGCGUUGUCCGGAAUUAUUGGGCGUAAAGAGCUCGUAGGCGGUCUGUCGCGUCUGCUGUGAAAACCCGAGGCUCAACCUCGGGCCUGCAGUGGGUACGGGCAGACUAGAGUGCGGUAGGGGAGAAUGGAAUUCCUGGUGUAGCGGUGGAAUGCGCAGAUAUCAGGAGGAACACCGAUGGCGAAGGCAGUUCUCUGGGCCGUAACUGACGCUGAGGAGCGAAAGCGUGGGGAGCGAACAGGAUUAGAUACCCUGGUAGUCCACGCCGUAACGUUGGGCGCUAGAUGUGGGGACCAUUCCACGGUUUCCGUGUCGCAGCUAACGCAUUAAGCGCCCCGCCUGGGGAGUACGGCCGCAAGGCUAAAACUCAGA